rnacentral:tRNA from 1 species
ACCUAAAUAGUUUAAGAUAAAAAAUGUUAGCUUGUGGCGCUCAAGAUGUAAGUGUUUACUUUAGGUA